UACGUAGGGGGCAAGCGUUGUCCGGAUUUAUUGGGCGUAAAGAGCGUGUAGGCGGCUUUGCAAGUCCGUUGUGAAAACUCGAGGCUCAACCUCGAGACGCCGGUGGAAACUGCAAGGCUCGAGUCCGGAAGAGGGGGCGGAAUUCCCAGUGUAGCGGUGAAAUGCGCAGAUAUCGGGAAGAACACCCGUGGCGAAGGCGGCACUCUGGGACGGUACUGACGCUGAGACGCGAAAGCGUGGGGAGCGAACAGG
rnacentral:rRNA from 1 species